UACGUGGGGGGCAAGCGUUGUCCGGAUUUAUUGGGCGUAAAGAGCGUGUAGGCGGCCUGACAGGUCUGCUGUGAAAACUCGAGGCUCAACCUCGAGAUGUCGGCGGAAACCGUCUGGCUAGAGUCCGGAAGAGGAGAGUGGAAUUCCUGGUGUAGCGGUGAAAUGCGCAGAUAUCAGGAGGAACACCGAUGGCGAAGGCAGCUCGCUGGGACGGUACUGACGCUGAGGCGCGAAAGCGUGGGGAGCAAACAGG
rnacentral:rRNA from 1 species